UACGGAGGGUGCAAGCGUUAAUCGGAAUUACUGGGCGUAAAGCGCACGCAGGCGGUUUGUUAAGUCAGAUGUGAAAUCCCCGGGCUCAACCUGGGAACUGCAUUUGGAACUGGCAAGCUAGAGUUUCGUAGAGGGGGGUAGAAUUCCAGGUGUAGCGGUGAAAUGCGUAGAGAUCUGGAGGAAUACCGGUGGCGAAGGCGGCCUCCUGGACGAAGACGGACGCUCAGGUGCGAAAGCGUGGGGAGCAAACAGG
rnacentral:rRNA from 1 species